rnacentral:rRNA from 1 species
AGGCUUAACACAUGCAAGUCGAGCGGGCGUAGCAAUACGUAAGCGGCAGACGGGUGAGUAACGCGUGGGAACAUACCUUUUGGUUCGGAACAACACAGGGAAACUUGUGCUAAUACCGGAUAAGCCCUUACGGGGAAAGAUUUAUCGCCGAGAGAUUGGCCCGCGUCUGAUUAGCUAGUUGGUAGGGUAAUGGCCUACCAAGGCGACGAUGAGUAGCUGGUCUGAGAGGAUGAUCAGCCACAUUGGGACUGAGACACUGCCCAA